rnacentral:rRNA from 1 species
AGGACGAACGCUGGCGGCGUGCUUAACACAUGCAAGUCGAGCGGUAAGGCUCCUUCGGGAGUACACGAGCGGCGAACGGGUGAGUAACACGUGAGCAAUCUGCCCUUCACACGGGGAUAACUCCGGGAAACCGGUGCUAAUACCCGAUACGACCACCUCAGGCAUCUGAUGGUGGUGGAAAGUUCCGGCGGUGAAGGAUGAGCUCGCGGCCUAUCAGCUUGUUGGUGGGGUAAUGGCCCACCAAGGCAACGACGGGUAGCCGGCCUGAGAGGGUGACCGGCCACACUGGGACUGAGACACGGCCCAGACUCCUACGGGAGGCAGCAGUGGGGAAUAUUGGACAAUGGGCGAAAGCCUGAUCCAGCAACGCCGCGUGAGGGAUGACGGCCUUCGGUUGUAACCUCUUUCACCUAUGACGAAGCGCAAGUGACGGUAGUAGGAGAAGAAGCACCGGCCAACUACGUGCCAGCAGCCGCGGUAAC